GACAGAGGAGGCAAGCGUUAUACGGAAUUAUUGGGCGUAAAGCGUCCGUAGGUGGUUUGGCAAGUCUGGGGUUAAAGCCCGGAGCCUAACUCCGGAGCGGCCCUGGAAACUGCCAGACUAGAGUAAGGUAGGGGUUGCGGGUAUUCCCGGUGUAGCGGUGAAAUGCGUAGAUAUCGGGAAGAACCCCAGUGGCGAAAGCGCGCAACUGGGCUAUUACUGACACUGAGGGACGAAAGCUAGGGGAGCGAAUGGG
rnacentral:rRNA from 1 species